UUCCGAACCCGGAAGUUAAGCCUACCAGCGCCGAUGGUACUGCACCGGGGACGGUGUGGGAGAGUAGGACGCCGCCGGAC
rnacentral:rRNA from 1 species